GCUUAGCCCCUAACAAAGGUGUACCCCCCACACAAUUACACCCGCCAGAAGAUUACGAGCCCACUUAAAACUCAAAGGACUUGACGGUACUUCGAACCCACCUAGAGGAGCCUGUCCUAUAAUUGAAGAUACACGAUUCACCUAACCCCUCCUUGCCUCUCAGUCUGUAUACCGCCGUCGCCAAACUCGUCCCACUGAGGGAAACAAAACAAGUGCAACAGCCUCCCAGGCUAAUACGUCAGGUCAAGGUGCAGCUAAUGGAGCGGAAGAGAUGUGCUACAUUUUCUAAAAUAGAAAUACGUAACAGAACGCCCUCUGAAAACAGGGCUGUCAAAGCAGAAUCUAGCAGUAAGUUAGGAAAGAGCGCCUAACUGAAGAAGGCCCCGAAGUACGUACACACCGCCCGUCACCCUCA
rnacentral:rRNA from 1 species